rnacentral:rRNA from 1 species
GACGAACGCUGGCGGCGUGCCUAACACAUGCAAGUCGAGCGAGAGACUUCGGUCUCUAGCGGCGGACGGGUGAGUAACACGUGGGUAACCUGCCUCAUAGAGGGGGAUAGCCUUCCGAAAGGAAGAUUAAUACCGCAUAACAUCAGAUUGUCGCAUGGCAGUUUGAUCAAAGGAGUAAUCCGCUAUGAGAUGGACCCGCGGCGCAUUAGCUAGUUGGUGAGGUAACGGCUCACCAAGGCCACGAUGCGUAGCCGACCUGAGAGGGUGAUCGGCCACAAUGGAACUGAGAUACGGUCCAGACUCCUACGGGAGGCAGCAGUGGGGAAUAUUGCACAAUGGGCGAAAGCCUGAUGCAGCAACGCCGCGUGAGUGAUGAAGGCCUUCGGGUUGUAAAGCUCUGUCUCUGGGGACGAUAAUGACGGUACCCAAGGAGGAAGCCACGGCUAACUACGUGCCAGCCGCCGCCGUAACAC